UGAAUUUACUUCUAGAGUUGGUCUAUCUGC
rnacentral:piRNA from 1 species